ACUGACCGUUCCGUCACUGCCACAACUUGCUAUGGCACGUCGUAUCUCCGCUGCAACACGAUCUGCCUUCAACCGCGCUCUGAUACCAACUGUCACGGGGUCGAUUAUGGCCACUUAAAUCCUGGCCGAGGUUUCGCCUCCGUGCGGCAGUUAAGCCUUGCCUGACUCAGCCUUCCCCCAAAACUUGCCAAUCGCACACAAGUUUGG
rnacentral:lncRNA from 1 species